UGCAAGUCGGACGGACUCAUUUUGAAGUAGCAAUACGGAGAGAUGAGUUAGUGGCGGACGGGUGAGUAACACGUAGGUAACCUACCCUUAAGCGGGGGACAGCUCAGGGAAACUUGAGCUAAUACCGCAUAAGACCACGGGCUGAGAUGCCAGUGGGAAAAGGAGCGAUCCACUUAAGGACGGGCCUGCAGCCUAUCAGGUAGUUGGUGAGGUAACGGCCCACCAAGCCAGAGACGGGUAGCCGGACUGAGAGGUUGAACGGCCACACUGGAACUGAGAUACGGUCCAGACUCCUACGGGAGGCAGCAGUGGGGAAUAUUGCGCAAUGGGGGAAACCCUGACGCAGCGACGCCGCGUGGAGGAUGAAGGCCUUCGGGUUGUAAACUCCUUUUGUAGGGGAAGAUAAUGACGGUACCCUGCGAAUAAGCCACGGCUAACUCUGUGCCAGCAGCCGCGGUAAGACAGAGGUGGCGAGCGUUGUUCGGAAUUACUGGGCUUAAAGGGCGAGUAGGCGGUGGAGCAAGUCUGAGGUGGAAUCUUAGGGCUUAA
rnacentral:rRNA from 1 species